CAGAGUUCAUGCCCUAACGGGUAGAUCUCCCACCCUUGUGUAUCAUUACCUUUGUUGCUUUGGCAGGCCGUCAGGCUUCGGCCCGGCUACCGGCUCCGGCUGGUAAGCGCCUGCCAGAGGACCCCAACUCUUGUGUUUAGUGUCGUCUGAGUACUAUAUAAUAAGUUA
rnacentral:misc_RNA from 1 species